rnacentral:rRNA from 1 species
CAGCCGCCGCGGUAAUACGGAGGGCGCGAGCGUUGUCCGGAUUCACUGGGCGUAAAGCGGGUGUAGGCGGUUCGGAAAGAAAGAUGUGAAAUCCCAGAGCUUAACUUUGGAACUGCAUUUUUAACUACCGGGCUAGAGUGUGUCAGAGGGAGGUGGAAUUCCGCGUGUAGCAGUGAAAUGCGUAGAUAUGCGGAGGAACACCGAUGGCGAAGGCAGCCUCCUGGGAUAACACUGACGCUCAUGCACGAAAGCGUGGGGAGCAAACAGGAUUAGAUACCCUGGUAGUCCACGCCCGAAACGAUGUCAACGAGCUGUUGGGGCCUUCGGGCCUUGGUAGCGCAGCUAACGCGUGAAGUUGACCGCCUGGGGAGUACGGUCGCAAGAUUAAAACUUAAAGGAAUUGGCGGG